AAUUUCUUAUACAGGGUGUCCCAAAAAACAUGGGAAUUCAGUGACGAAUUUGAAUUCGUCACUGAAUUCCCAUGUUUUUUGGGACACCCUGUACGUC